AGAGUUUGAUCCUGGCUCAGGAUGAACGCUGGCGGCGUGCCUAACACAUGCAAGUCGAACGAAGCGCCCGCGCGGAUUCCCUCGGGAUGAAGCGCGGAUGACUGAGUGGCGGACGGGUGAGUCACGCGUGGGCAACCUGCCCCGUGCCGGGGGACAACAGCCGGAAACGGCUGCUAAUACCGCAUGAUCCGGAAGGGCCGCAUGGCCUUUCCGGGAAAGCUCCGGCGGCACGGGAUGGGCCCGCGUCUGAUUAGUUUGUUGGCGGGGUAACGGCCCACCAAGACUGCGAUCAGCAGCCGGCCUGAGAGGGCGGCCGGCCACAUUGGGACUGAGACACGGCCCAGACUCCUGCGGGAGGCAGCAGUGGGGAAUAUUGCACAAUGGGGGAAACCCUGAUGCAGCGACGCCGCGUGGGCGACGAAGCGCUCCGGCGCGUAAAGCCCUGUCAGCAGGGAAGAACAAAGACAGUACCUGACCAAGAAGCCCCGGCUAACUACGUGCCAGCAGCCGCGGUAAUACGUAGGGGGCAAGCGUUAUCCAGAUUCACUGGGCGUAAAGGGAGCGCAGGCGGCGCGGCAAGUCUGGUGUGAAAGCCCGGGGCCCAACCCCGGGACUGCAUUGGAAACUGCCGGGCUGGAGUGCCGGAGGGGUAAGCGGAAUUCCUGGUGUAGCGGUGAAAUGCGCAGAUAUCAGGAAGAACACCGGUGGCGUAGGCGGCUUACUGGACGGCAACUGACGCUGAGGCUCGAAAGCGUGGGGAGCAAACAGGAUUAGAUACCCUGGUAGUCCACGCCGUAAACGA
rnacentral:rRNA from 1 species